GUUAGGAAUAUUGGACAAUGGGCGCAAGCCUGAUCCAGCCAUGCCGCGUGAACGAUGAAGGCCUUCGGGUUGUAAAGUUCUUUAGCCGAUGAUUAUAAUGACUGUAGUCGGAAAAUAAGCCCCGGCUAACUUCGUGCCAGCAGCCGCGGUAAUACGAAGGGGGCGAGCGUUAUUCGGAAUCACUGGGCGUAAAGCGUGCGUAGGCGGUCUCGUAAGUUAGGAGUGAAAGCCCAGGGCUCAACCUUGGAAUUGCUCUUAAAACUGCAAGGCUAGAAUCUCGGAGAGGAUAGCGGAAUUUCCAGUGUAGCAGUGAAAUGCGUAGAUAUUGGAAGGAACACCAGUGGCGUAAGCGGCUAUCUGGACGAGUAUUGACGCUGAGGCACGAAAGCGUGGGGAUCAAACAGGAUUAGAAACCCGGGUAGUCC
rnacentral:rRNA from 1 species